GACGAACGCUGGCAGCGUGCUUAACACAUGCAAGUCGAACGGGCCUGUCUUCUUUUUUGGGGGGUGGGUUGAGUGGCGAACGGGUGAGUAUCACGUGAGUAACCUGCCCUUCGGUCCUGGAUAACCGCUUGAAAGGGCGGCUAAUACGGGGUGGUCCGGUUGGUCCGCAUGGGCUGGUCGGGAUAGAUUCACUGUUUUUGGUGUUUCGGCGGGGGAUGGGCUCGCGGCCUAUCAGCUUGUUGGUGGGGUGAUGGCCUACCAAGGCGGUGACGGGUAGCCGGCCUGAGAGGGUGGGCGGCCACACUGGGACUGAGAUACGGCCCAGACUCCUGCGGGAGGCAGCAGUGGGGGGUAUUGCACAAUGGGCGGAAGCCUGAUGCAGCGACGUCGCGUGAGGGAUGGAGGCCUUCGGGUUGUGAACCUCUGUUUCCGGUGGUGAAGGCCCUGUCCGUGUGGUGGGGUUGACGGUAGCCGGGGAUGAAGCGCCGGCUAACUACGUG
rnacentral:rRNA from 1 species